rnacentral:rRNA from 1 species
GUGUCAGCAGCCGCGGUAAUACGGGGGGUGCUAGCGUUAUUCGGAAUCAUUGGGCGUAAAGGGCGCGUAGGCGGUCGCUUAAGUCAGAUGUGAAAGCCCUCGGCUUAACCGAGGAAGUGCAUUUGAUACUAAGUGACUUGAGUAUGGGAGAGGGAAGCGGAAUUCCUGGUGUAGCGGUGAAAUGCGUAGAUAUCAGGAGGAACACCGGUGGCGAAGGCGGCUUCCUGGACCAAUACUGACGCUGAGGCGCGAAGGCGUGGGGAGCAAACAGGAUUAGAUACCCCCGUAGUCC